UAAGUCACUAACAUCACUAUUCUGAUCUGUGAAAACUUUCACAGUUCAGUACUGGUCAGCUGACCCUUCCCUAAGUCACUAACAUCACUAUUCUGAUCUGUGAAAACUUUCACAGUUCAGUACUGGUCAGCUGACCCUUUCCUGAGUCAUAUUAAUCACUAUUCUGAUCUGUGAAAACUUUCACAGGUCAGUACUGGUCAGCUGACGCUUCCCUAAGUCACUAACAUCACUAUUCUGAUCUGUGAAAACUUUCACAGUUCAGUAUUGGUCAGCUGACCCUUUCCUGGGUCACUAACAUCACUAUUCUGAUCUGUGAAAACUUUCACAGGUCAGUACUGGUCAGCUGACGCUUCCCUAAGUCACUAACAUCACUAUUCUGAUCUGUGAAAACUUUCACAGUUCAGUACUGGUCAGCUGACCCUUUCCUGAGUCAUAUUAAUCACUAUUCUGAUCUGUGAAAACUUUCACAGGUCAGUACUGGUCAGCUGACGCUUCCCUAAGUCACUAACAUCACUAUUCUGAUCUGUGAAAACUUUCACAGUUCAGUACUGGUCAGCUGACCCUUCC